rnacentral:rRNA from 1 species
UAAGCAUAUCAGUAAGCGGAGGAAAAGAAAAUAACAAUGAUUACCUCAGUAGCGGCGAGUGAAGAGGUAAAAGCCCAAGAUGUUAAUCUGCAUUGAAGAUGUAGAAUUGUAAUCUAUAGAAUUUCUCAGAGGGGGAGGCUUGCCAUAAGUUCUUUGGAACAAGGCACCAUAGAGGGGUGAAAGUCCCGUCUUUGGGUGAGCCGAACCGUAUGAGGGGUUUCUAAGAGUCGGGUAGUUUGGGAAUGCUGCCCUAAGCGGGAGAUAAACUUCUCCUAAGGCUAAAUAUAAGAUAGGAGACCGAUAGC